UACGUAGGGUGCGAGCGUUGUCCGGAAUUAUUGGGCGUAAAGAGCUCGUAGGCGGUGUGUCACGUCGGCCGUGAAAACCUGCAGCUUAACUGUGGGCGUGCGGUCGAUACGGGCAUCACUGGAGUUCGGCAGGGGAGACUGGAAUUCCUGGUGUAGCGGUGAAUUGCGUAGAUAUCAGGAGGAACACCGGUGGCGAAGGCGACUUACUGGACACAUAUUGACGCUGAGGUGCGAAAGCGUGGGGAGCAAACAGG
rnacentral:rRNA from 1 species